UGUAGCUCCGUUAAUUUAAAAAUUAAAGUGAACUGACCUCUAAUAAAAUCUAAAGCAGAAACCGCUUAUUAGAAACACGGAUAAUUGAUACAAUCGCGUUAUUGAAACAAAAUGUACAUAGACUGACCGGCCGUAUAUUAGAACAUUGAAGAUAAAUCGGAUUAUUGGAACAUCACAUCAUUUGAAACGAUUGGAAGUCGGAACGUUACUGAAGGUACACCGUUAAAUGAAACUACGCUAAAUUCUAUACAAUUUCAAGGCGGAAAUGCGAGUCAAGAAGCAUUUCAUGUGAGGGAGCUUUUUACAGAUUUUUUCAAUUCACCUAGUGGAACAGUUUCGUGGCAAAAUGAAUACAUUUAAUUUUAAUUUUUAUCUUAAAUAUAAAUAAAGACGUGUAGUUAUUAUUAUUAAUUAUUAUUUAUACAUUUAAUAUAGGUAACUAACUAAGCAGAUACCUCCUAAGUAUAUUAUUAUAUUAUAUAUUAAAAAUCUAUAGACUUAGAAAAACUACAGUUUGUUAUUAACAAUAAAAUAAGAAAAACAAUUUAAUAAU